GCUUUGCCUUCUUCUAAAUUCUUUCAUUAACAGUUGCUGCUCCUUGCUCCUCUUUAGUCACAGCAAGUGGUUGUGAUGGGCAGCUGCUGAGCCAAACGGCUUUUUCGUGAUUCAGCAUAGAUGUCUUGGCAACGCCACGUGCUUGUUCCUUGUGCAAAAGGCGGACAACAUCAACAGUAAGGAUGCAACUGCCUUCCGCCUCCACAAAACGUUCUUUCAAACUUUAUCAACCAACAAAUCUGGUUACAUGGAGUCUUGACCAAU